AUGGACGAAAGCUGACGGAUCACGCCGCGUGAGUGAUGAAGGUUUUCGGAUCGUAAAACUCUGUUGUUAGGGAAGAACAAUGCAUAGUAACUGAUGGCACCUUGACGGUACCUAACCAGAAAGCCACGGCUAACUACGUGCCAGCAGCCGCGGUAAUACGUAGGUGGCAAGCGUUGUCCGGAAUUAUUGGGCGUAAAGCGCUCGCAGGCGGUUCUUUAAGUCUGAUGUGAAAUCUUACGGCUCAACCGUAAACGUGCAUUGGAAACUGGGGAACUUGAGUGCAGAAGAGGAGAGUGGAAUUCCACGUGUAGCGGUGAAAUGCGUAGAGAUGUGGAGGAACACCAGUGGCGAAGGCGACUCUCUGGUCUGUAACUGACGCUGAGGAGCGAAAGCGUGGGGAGCGAACAGGAUUAGAUACCCUGGUAGUCCACGCCGUAAACGAUGAGUGCUAGGUGUUAGGGGGUUUCCGCCCCUUAGUGCUGAAGUUAACGCAUUAAGCACUCCGCCUGGGGAGUACGG
rnacentral:rRNA from 1 species